rnacentral:rRNA from 1 species
CCUACGGGUGGCAGCAGUGGGGAAUAUUGGGCAAUGGGCGCAAGCCUGACCCAGCAACGCCGCGUGAAGGAAGAAGGCUUUCGGGUUGUAAACUUCUUUUGACAGGGAAGAGUAGAAGACGGUACCCGUAGAACAAGCCACGGCUAACUACGUGCCAGCAGCCGCGGUAAUACGUAGGUGGCAAGCGUUGUCCGGAUUUACUGGGUGUAAAGGGCGUGUAGCCGGGUAGGCAAGUCAGAUGUGAAAUCCGGCGGCUUAACCGCCGAAUUGCAUUUGAAACUGUUUUUCUUGAGUACUGGAGAGGCAGACGGAAUUCCUGGUGUAGCGGUGAAAUGCGUAGAUAUAAGGAGGAACACCAGUGGCGAAGGCGGUCUGCUGGACAGCAACUGACGGUGAGGCGCGAAAGCGUGGGGAGCAAACAGGAUUAGAUACCCCUGUAGUC